CGCUGGAUUCACGCAGCUACGUUCCCUCUGGGUCCUGCAGCCAGACUGGGCAUGUGCCGCCGCCGGGUCAGGGUCUGCAGUUAAGGACAGAGCUGGCUUUAAAGGAACUCUCUGUUUCUCUUGUCUUCCGGGUGGUCCCCAGCAAAGGAUGCAAAAAUCUGCACCUCCGACCCCUCGCCCCCGGCUCAGACCCGCAGAAAUGGGUCAGGACCUGACUGAGCAUGCUCUGGGCAGUGCCAGACUGCCGCACGCGGCUGCCUCUGGAUGCCCAGGAUUGAUGUAGCCGUGCUGGUUCAUCACGACAUCGAAGAGCUCUCAUGCUUACGUACGUUGGAGGCAAGUGUGAAGAAUUGGCUUUUAAUCCUGUAUCACUGAAGGCUGAAAUGGAGAUUUUACAAGCUUGAGCUUAAUAAACUUGAGAACCCCAGGAGCGCCUUGCAUUGAGCCUAGCAGGUGCUUGGAAUAGUUGUGUGUUCGGAGGAGGAAGAUGGGCGGGUCAUCUUACCUGGUGAGAUUUGUUGCCCCAGUGAGGAAAUUUCCUGAGUCAAGUUGAGUGAGCUUCCUGCCGCGAGUUUGGCUUCUGGUACUUAGAAACACCAUCUUUAGGGGAAGUUCACUGCUGGGAAUAAGAUUGCCUAAAUACUUCCUCCUAGAGACAGAACUUCUACUGGGGUCCCACGCAUCCCUGAGGAGCUUUGAAAUUCAUUUUUUGCUGCUGCUUCUGGCUACUGCUCCGGAACUUGGUUAGGAACUUGGCCAUCGUCCUUAAAUAUCCACAGUCCUUCUACCCAUCUGGAACUUUCUACUCGUUCAGCGUCUACACAGGAGCUAAGUGUCUUCUACCUGUUGUUCUCAUCCUUCUCUUUCAAGUUCUUGGCCCAUACUACCCACUUCUGGGUAUUCGUCGCCUGGCUCCUUUCCAGCUUCUCUCCCGAUACCUCUCACCCUUUGGAUGGUCUUCAGUACAAAAAUGACAUUUAAAUGGAGGAUGGGAAUAGCCGGGCUAGCAUUCCUGCACUCUUUCCAGUUCUAAUUGGUUACCGUCCGUGCCUGGCGAUAGUAAAGCAGCUGUGUGAGCAUCAGCACCCUUCUGGAAUGAGCACGGGAGGAUGGAGAGUACCCACACAGGAGUAACUGCACAGGCCUUGCAUCGCGCCAGCUCUCGAGACCACAGAACUCCACAGGCCUUGCAUCGUGCCAGCUCUCCGUGAGACCACAGGAGGACCCCACUACUUUGUGUCAACCCUGAGGCAGACCUGCUCCUGAUUUCUGUGAACACAUUCCUCUGUCUGAGCGUCUUGUUUCCAAAUAAGCCAUUUAUUUUGAUGUCCACAGGAGAGAUCUGGAGAAGUGGACAGCUAUGGCAAGGUGGGGGUUGUGUGUUCAUUUGUUGACCAAGAGGGAUUUUACUGGGUUAUUUUUCAGCAACUCUCUUAACUUGGGGGGGGGGGGAGCGGGCCUGUGGGGCCGAGGAAGUCUGGACUUCACCUCCUCCUUGAGAAAGGAAAAGGAGAGGCCUGUGACUUGCCACUAGUUUCCUCCUAGUCCCAGGACUCUGAAAGGACAUGAUUAGGACGGGGAGCGAGAAGGAAUGGAAGGAAACCUACUUCCUCUGUCAUCUUUGCCUGCAGAGCAUGAAGCGCCUUGGGGGGCCAAGGCAGCAGUGGGGAAGGCCACCUUCCUUACUGUGGGUUUAGGUGAAGCCCGGAUGCUGGUCGCAUAGAGGCUUGCACGUGUGUGGUCUCUCCUUAGCCUGCUGCAGAGCUCAGGGAAGCGGCUGCUGUGUUGCUACUCCCAGGAGGCAGAAACCUGGCGGGAAGGGUGGCAGCUCUCCUGGAGACCACACAAAACCCUUCUUCUCAAAUGGUUUGUCAGCCGAACGUGAAAGGCCACCCUUCACUCCCCCCCACCCCCCUCAGGGCUUCAUUCCAGACGAUGACUCAAAUUUGCUGUUAAAAUUACUCACUGAAUGACUUUCCCAACAAUGACUCAGGAUAUGAAAUAUUGGCAGGAGAAGGGAUAAAUCCAGUAAUCCCUCCCGCGUGCAGGGGUGAGGCUUCCUGAUGGUGAAUGGGGACCUGCAGGGAAGGUUAGGAGAGGCCAAUGAGGGGUAGAUGGGGUGAGUCUGAGAUGGGACCCUUUCCUAAAACGGUGCCGUGGGGUCAGAGCAAUAGCAUCGCAGGCAGGGAGCUCGCCUGGCACACAGCUUCCCUGGGUUUGAUCCCUAGCAUCCCAUAUGAUCCCCUGAGCCUGUUAGGAGUAAACCCUGAGCCUCGUCAUCCCCUCCAAAGAGAAUAAAACAGAACAAAAACUUGCCUUUGCAGGUGCUUCUCCCUUGGAUUCUGGAAGGGUUGUGUCUUGCGUUUAGCUGGAAUUUGGUUCUCCUACUUUAUCACUGUCUCCGGCAAGAAGGAGAGCUUAGCCUCCGUGUUCCAGCCAUCAGAUGGAAUGGAACGAGAGUGGGAGCCCAUGUGAUCAAAUGGGCAAACGAGUCACUAGCAGACAUGUGGAGAACACACAGCCAACAUGUUUUGCAGGAGUGGAGCCCUCAAGCACAAUGCUUUGUCUUGAGACUUGACAUGGAUUUCACUGUCCUUGUUGGAGGAAUCCCACUCUGCUGCAUGACAGGAAAUCCAAGAUAGUAUCAGCACGCUGGGAGGUGGGGCCAGAGCAAUAGGAUAAUUAGUAGGACGUUCUACUGGUUCAAUCCCCCUCAUCCCAUACAGUCAUCCCUAGUGCUGCUGGGAGUGUUGAGUGAUUCCUGAGUGCAGAGCCUGGAAUAAAGCCCUGAGCAACACUGUGUGUGGCUCAAAAACUAAAACAAACAAAAAAAUUGGGCCGUUAGUCUCUGUGCUAUUGAUUUCUGUGCCUCUCUCCUUACUGCAUAGGUAUUUGUUAGAAUUCAAAGAAGACUCUUUGGGGAGGGGAGGGCACUUCACCAAGGCUCACUCUGGCAGUGCUCAGAGGCUUGCAGUGCUGGGGACUGAACCUAGGGGUCAUGCAUUCCAGGCCUACACUCUAAUCCUGAGAGCCAACACCUUGACUCUGUAUUGUUUCUUUUUAUUAAGUAUUUAGGUUCCAGGGGCCACACUUAGUGAUGCUCAGGGCCCAUUCCUGGUGGGGCUCAGAGGACCAUAUGGGAUGCUGGGGGUUGAACCUGGCUUGGCCACAUGGAGGGCAAGCCCCCUCCUCAAUCUACUAUUGCUCCAGCCCCUGUACCUUUAUACUGUGUAUACGUGUGACAGCAAAAAAGUCCGUAUGGUUCUAGGUCUUGGUAAGGGAGCAUCCCAUGAGGGUGAAGACCAGAAAGAAGUUCUCUCAUGGACUCACAGAAGGAAGCGUGGCUAUGCUGUGACCCAGCAGUCAUGGCAGAUCUGGGUUUGUCGUGUAGGUCUGGAAGGUCUCUGGAAGGCUCACAGACCUUGACUGACAUGCACGUGCAGUUUCCUCUCUGAGCUGGGACUCUGCCGUCCAACACCCUGGCCCUUUCCUGCAGGCUCUGAACCUCCUCAGUGAGUUGUCACCAGAGGUAAGGACUGAGAGGGGACUAAGAUUUGCCUCAGAUGAUGUCACAAUUAUGCCCUGAGUCAAUGGAGGAAGGAAGUUUCCCAACAAAGGGAGAUUCUUCCUCCCCAUCACAAAAGACAAAGUCCAAAUGCCCUUGCAGGCUGGGCCUCGUCCUCCUGUUCCUGCAAAAAAUACAGGGAGCCCAGGCACAAAGUGUGUGACUGUGUGUCUGUCAUGGAUGUGUGCGCUUGUGAGUCUCAUGGACAGUGUGGAGGUUAAGACCCAAUUAAUUAUCCGGCAGAGGGAACAGAUUUCCUCAUUUGGACCACACCUGCUUCCCUGGCAUGUGCCAACAGAACCUCUCUUUGGUUUUCUUUUUAGUCGCAUCUCAAAUGACUUUAAAUUGUUAAGACAUUUAAAUUGUAAAAUGAUGGGGCUAGAGCAUUAGUACAGUCCGGUGGGGUGUUUUCCUUGCACGCGUCCGACCCUGGUUCGAUUCCCAGCAUCCCAUAUGGUCCUCUGAGCACCACCAGGGGUGAUUCCUGAGUGCAGAGCCAGGAGUAACCCUUGUGCAUUGCCAGGUGUGAAAAAAAAAAUUGUAAAAUGAUGCCCAUACAUUUCAUCAAACUGGAGCACUGUCAUCCAGUUGUUUAUUGAUUUGCUCUAGUGGGCACCAGUAAUGUCUCCACUGUGAGACUUGUUGCUGGUUUUGGCAUAUCCAAUAAGCCAUGGGUAUCUUGCCAGGCUCUCCCGUGUAGGCAGGAUACUCUCGGUAGCUUGCCAGGCUCUCUGAGAGGGACGGAGGUAUUUGAACCCUGGUCGGCUGUGUGUGCAAGGCAAACUCCCUACCCACUGUGCUAUGGCUCCAGCCCCAAUGACAUGGAGUUUCUUAAAGGAAAGCGUUCAGAAAUAGCAAGACCACCAAUUAUCUGUUCAGUAUAAAACAAAACACUGUCAGGCUUUGGCCUUGGGCUCUGUGAUACUGAGUCUGCUUUUCUUUCUGAUGGUGAGUUUCUCAUCUGCUCCUAGCACGAUCCUCCCUGCUCUGAGCGAGCUGGAACCAAGGCUAAGCUGUGAGCCAACCCAGGGCAAAUGCACGCAUG